CUAUUCCAUUAUUUAGGGUUAAAAGGGUAAAUUGCAUUUUACGUCCUUUAAGUUUGAGCAAAAUUGCAGGCGUUGUCCUUUAACUAACAAAAUUAAACUGGAGAUCCUUUAUGUUACAGUUUUUCAUUCAUCAUGCGGUGUCCUUUUGCCCUAACCCUGUUAAAUUUUUAUGUUAAUGCUUAACAUGUGCCACUCACAUGAGGGUAUAAUGGCCAUUUUUACUUAAAAUAUAUCUUCCUCUUGAAGUUUCACAGGUAUUUUUUAUAUUUUUUGUUUUAGUUAAUAAGUAAAAAUGACCAUUAUGCCCUCAUGUGAGUGGCACAUGUUAAGCAUUAACAUAAAAAAUUAGCUAGGUGAGGGCAAAAGGACACCGCAUGAUGUGAAACUGUUACGCGUCGUGUAAAAAUGGUAAUCAAGCACAAAGAGCGAAAAUAUAGAGAAAGUAGAAGAAAACACAGAGAAGGGAGAUUACUCUCAAAAUCAUUCGCUAUCUCUAUCUCGUUCAUCAGAUCGUUUAAGUACAACCAUGAUAACAAACAGUUACAAAACAGACCCUUGACAAUACAACAAUUACAAUAUGGACCCUCCACAAAAUAGACCCUUGAAGGAUUCUUGACCCCAAGAAUCAAUAAGCACAAAAAAAUGCAUGAACUUUACCAUCUAGUUUAGUGCGCUUCAAAGAUAACACCAGUAGCAUAUCUACUCAUGCUAGUCAUCACUAUAGCAACACCUUUGUCAUACUGCUUUGCCACUUUAACUGUUCCCAGAUGAAUCUUGUUUAAUAUUUCCAAACCAAGUAUCCGAUCUGAGGAAAUAUGAAUAUGAAACUCUUUACGAUGACGUGUCAGUAGAUCUCUUGUUCUAAAAAGGUUAUAACCCAUAUGCUCCAUCCGUUCAAAUAUGGACAUCACUAUUUUCCAAAACCAAGUGGCAUGGUAUGCGGACAUUGUCCUUGUAAUUUGAAUUUCUGAUUUCUUCUCAGGUUUAAAUCAUUUAUGCUCUUCACCUCCGUUGAAAAUAUAAAACCAUCAGAAACUUCCAUCACCUGAGAGCGCAUCAAUGAUCCAUUCACCAAAAACUAGGCUUGAUGUUAUACCAGAAGUUACAAAUGCAGAAGUUUGGUAUUCGUUUUUCCGAUAAGAAUUGACCCAUCUAAGAUACAUAAGCUCCUCAACUUCAUUUAAUCGAAUUACUUGUCGAACUUCAACUUA